rnacentral:rRNA from 1 species
GAUGAACGCUAGCGGCAGGCUUAAUACAUGCAAGUCAAGGGGGUAGCAAUACUACCGGCGCAUGGGUGAGUAACACGUACAUAACAUACCAUAUACUGGGGUAUAGCUUUGGGAAACUGAAGGUAAUCCCCCAUAACAUUGCGAGAGGGCAUCUGAUUGCAAUUAAAGUUUCGACGGUAUAUGAUUGAUGUGCGUUUGAUUAGCUUGUUGGUAGGGUAACGGCCUACCAAGGCGACGAUCAAUAGCUGGUGUGAGAGCGCGACCAGCCACACUGGAACUGAGACACGGUCCAGACUCCUACGGGAGGCAGCAGUAGGGAAUAUUGGACAAUGGGCGAAAGCCUGAUCCAGCCAUGCCGCGUGAUAGAUGAAGGCCCUCUGGGUUGUAAAUAUCUUUUAUCUGGGAAGAAACAAUCUUAUCUUAAGAUCUUGACGGUACCAGAGGAAUAAGCACCGGCUAACUCCGUGCCAGCAGCCGCGGUAAAGUA